rfam:Agrilus planipennis Contig55904, whole genome shotgun sequence.
ACCUAGAUAAGAUUACUCUUCAAAAAUAGUUAAGGGUUCUUCUAGUUUUGCGGCUGAAGAGGACCUUUAUUGGUCCUAGAACGGCCUGAGGUAGAAGGGUUUUAGUCGGUAGGUCCGAGGUCUUCUUCCUUGGGAAUCCGACACUACGCAGUCAUACGGACGGCUGGGUGUCUUUUGAAGAUUUCCCUUCUUCCACGAAA